rnacentral:lncRNA from 1 species
UCACACUUCCAAUCAAACAUUUCACCUCACCUUCUCUCAACCAUCCUCUGCAACUACCCUUCCCCCCUCUGUUACAUUUACAUUCCCUCUUCCUAACACUCUCCCACACACUCAUCCAAAUGGUAGUUUCGGGUUUUGAAGGCUUCGAGAAAAGAUUNGAGCUUCAUUACCAGACAUUGUAUUUAUGGACUAUACAGUUUAAGUUUUACAGGACAACCAUCCUAGUUCUAUCAACUAAAACAUUAUAUAACGAAUACAAUGAUGCACUUAGGUUCCUUCAACUAGUAACAAUCACGCAAAACAUAAUCAUCAAACCCAAAUAUUUACGCAACCCAUAUGCUAAAAUAAAAUAACUAUAACUAUAACUAUAACACAACCAAGACACUAUAACUCAUAGCUGCAAAAUUUAAAAACUCACCAGAGGAGUGUCAUUCUCCCUCGGGGUUUGCCCGAGCAACGAAGCUUGUGAGAGCUGGGUUCCUAAACUCACUGCACAAACAUAGAUCCUACAACCCAGUACAUCAAUGGCGCGAUCAACACCUGAUAAAAGCGUGUUUUCAUGAAAAUAGGGCAAAGAAGAACGAAACAGAGAAGAGAAUGAGGGAUAGGGAACGUGAUUCCUGAAUAUAGCAGCCCUAAGGUAAUGAUGGAAAACCAACUCCGAGAAGUGGCCUGAAGGCGUGAUUUGAACUGUAAUGAGGCUCCUCCAGUGAAGAAACGCAGCAGUAUGAUGUAAAUUGGGAAGAGAACUCGAGACCGAGAGCCGAAUCAGUGGAGAAUGAAAACAAACCCUGAGAAUCCAAGAAUACUCCAGAAACGGAGAGGAUACGAUGCGAAGAACCCUAAAACCCUAGGUUGACGAAGGAAACCCAAAAUGGAUCGAUUAAUCAGUGUAAAUGCAAGAUUGGUCGGUGUAAAUGAUGCUAAUUGAAGAAUCAAUCGGUGGAAAGACUUUUAAUCGAUAUAAAAUAGGAUUUAAUCGGUUGAAAAUGAAGAAAAUGGUGAAAAGAGGUUGGAACCCUAACUAGAGAUGUAGAUCGACUAAUGAAUCGGUAGAACAAAUGUUCUAUGGUUGCAAAGGCUAUGGAAAAGCUAAAUAUGAAAGAAGAAGAAGAUUGUGUGAAAAAAAAAUGGAUUACGAAUGAGGAGUUCUCGAGUGGAAAGAGGAAACUCGAGGAAGACGAAAUGUGAAAAAUGAGAGCAAACCUGAAAGGAAGAUAGCGUUCAAGACGAAGGAGAAAGGCCAAAGAAAAAGCGCGAAGGAGGGUUCAAGAAGUUCACGUGAAAUUGAAGGAGAAGCAUGAAGAGGAGUAAAGAUGGGGAAGAAGCUUAGAGAAGAGAGAAAAGUGAAGAAGAUUAAGGAAAAAAGGCUUCUGAAUAAUCAAUUGAAACUUUAAUUUGUUUUAAAUA